CCUACGGGUGGCAGCAGUGAGGAAUAUUGGUCAAUGGUCGAAAGACUGAACCAGCCAAGUAGCGUGAAGGAUGACUGCCCUAUGGGUUGUAAACUUCUUUUAUACAGGAAUAAAACGAGGCACGUGUGCCUUUUUGCAUGUACCUUAUGAAUAAGGAUCGGCUAAAUCCGUGCCAGCAGCCGCGGUAAUACGGAGGAUCCGAGCGUUAUCCGGAUUUAUUGGGUUUAAAGGGAGCGUAGAUGGGUUGGUAAGUCAGGUGUGAAAGUUUGGGGCUCAACCGUAAAAUUGCAUUUGAUACUGGCAGUCUUGAGUAGAGGUGAGGUAUGCGGAAUGCGUGGUGUAGCGGUGAAAUGCUUAGAUAUCACGCAGAACCCCGAUUGCGAAGGCAGCAUAC
rnacentral:rRNA from 1 species